rnacentral:rRNA from 1 species
CCCUAGUAACGGCGAGUGAAGCGGGAAGAGCUCAAAUUUAAAAUCUGACGGUCUACGGCCGUCCGAGUUGUAAUCUAGAGAGGUGUUUUCCGUGCCGGACCGUGUACAAGUCCCUUGGAACAGGGCGUCAUAGAGGGUGAGAAUCCCGUCCAUGACACGGACUACCGGUGCUCUGUGAUACACCUUCGAAGAGUCGAGUUGUUUGGGAAUGCAGCUCAAAAUGGGUGGUAAAUUCCAUCUAAAGCUAAAUACAGGCGAGAGACCGAUAGCGAACAAGUACCGUGAGGGAAAGAUGAAAAGAACUUUGGAAAGAGAGUUAAACAGUACGUGAAAUUGUUGAAAGGGAAACGCUUGAAGUCAGUCGCGUCCGCCGGGACUCAGCCUUGCUUUUGCUUGGUGCAUUUCCUGGUGGAUGGGCCAGCAUCGAUUUUGGUCGCCGGAAAAGGGUGGGAGGAAUGUGGCAGCUUGCUGUGUUAUAGCCUCCUGUCGUACACGGUGGUUGGGAUCGAGGACUGCAGCACGCCUUUUGGUCGGGGUUCGCCCACGCCACGUGCUUAGGAUGCUGGCGUAAUGGCUUUAAACGACCCGUCUUGAAACACGGACCAAGGAGUCUAACAUGCCUGCGAGUGUUUGGGUGUUAAACCCAGGCGCGUAAUGAAAGUGAAAAGUUGGGACUCUUUAGUGAGGCACCGACGCCCGAUCCUGACGUUCUCUGACGGAUUUGAGGCAGAGCAUGUAUGUUGGGACCCGAAAGAUGGUGAACUAUGCCUGAAUAGGGUGAAGCCAGAGGAAACUCUGGUGGAGGCUCGUAGCGAUUCUGACGUGCAAAUCGAUCGUCAAUUUGGGUAUAGGGGCGAAAGACU